rnacentral:rRNA from 1 species
CACGUAGGGUGCGAGCGUUUGUCCGGAAUUAUUGGGCGUAAAGAGCUCGUAGGCGGUGUGUCGCGUCGGCCGUGAAAACCUGCAGCUUAACUGUGGGCUUGCGGUCGAUACGGGCAUCACUGGAGUUCGGCAGGGGAGACUGGAAUUCCUGGUGUAGCGGUGAAAUGCGCAGGAUAUCAGGAGGAACACCGGUGGCGAAGGCGGGUCUCUGGGCCGAUGACUGACGCUGAGGAGCGAAAGCGUGGGGAGCGAACAGG